ensembl:lncRNA
UAGAUGCAUCCAUAACUCCAUUGCUAUAGCUUUAUAAUAGCUGUAUUACAUAAUUACCAGCUGAUGUGACAACAUAACUUUACUCUUCUAGUUAUCUUAGGGUCGUGACGGUGAUACACAGUAGGAUAUCCCAAAGCUUUCGGACCGUCCUCAUUCAGGGCUGGAACCGUGUGGUUUUCAGGCUGUUGAUUCCUAGGAACCGUGUGGACGUCUCACGUUGAGCUGGCAGACACAUGCCUACUGUCUGUGUUGCUUUGACCAAAGUGUGUCUGACUGUAGCCCAGUCGCGUUCACCAGCAGUUUUUUCCCCCUCCAGCCUGCAUCACUCAAACACAAAUAGCUUCUGCCACGACGCAGACAUCCCCCGUCGUCUUGGAAAAUGUGCAUUUGACUACGACGUGGGCCUUCCGUUAUUCUUUUGGAACUCUGCUCUGCUGAGUCAGUCCAGGUGGCACUGGUCGUAGUCCCGUCGUGUACUCUGCGUGGAGGUUCUGUCUACAUGUGCUGAAUGGGACUGGACAUGAUUUUACCUCUGUCAGUGAUGGAAACAACGGACGAAAUGAGAGGACUGGGUAGGGGCCAGGGUCGAUGUGUGUCACACUCUGAUGUCUGAGGAGAACGGCUGAAGACACUGCUGGGGAGAGAGUGGGGGAGAAAGAGACAAGGAGAAAGGAGGGGAGAAGCUGCUUUGAGGGAAAGGCCUUGGUUUCUACAGUGCCGGAGUCUCACAGCACAACAAUGGCUUGGGAGAUCGAGAGCAACCAGCUGAUGGAAUGCUGACGUGAAUGAACACACGACAAUGCAUGCUGUACCACAUGUGAUGUGUGUGUGACACAGUGUGGGUGUGGAUGGAGACUUUCGUCCAGAUUGAUAAACCAGUUUCUUUUAGCUGCUAUAAUGGUCCCUGGUAAUAACAUAUAAAAUAUGAACGAAUGUACUGCUGUAAUACUGCUGUAAUACUACUCUGUGAUCCAUGACUCCAUCGGGCCUGUUGGUGAACAGACAACAUCUUGUAAUCAAUAAUCUGAGUGGGAUUUAAGAUAAUCUUGAAAGAGAUACAUGCUGUCCUUCUGAAUCUAAGGAGAGCUGCGUAUCUGAGGAGAGCUGCGUAUCUGAGAGCUGAUCAUCUGAGGAGACCUGAGUAUCUGAGGAGAGCUGAGUUUCUGAGGAAUGAUGCGUAUCUAAUGAAAGAAGUGUAUCUAAUGAGAGAUAAGAUGUGUAUCUGAUGAGAGAUGUGAAUCCCAGGAAAUAUGUGUAUCUCAGAAGAAUCUCCCACUGCUUUUCUGAUUCAUAAAUACUUUUUAGUGACUCAUCCCACAAUCCUGAUUUUACAGACUGCCAUAUAUUUAGUCACACAUUUUAUCAUGCUCAUGUUUUUUGUAACAGGGCAUUAAAUUACAGUAAACAGCGUUAUAUUUUCGGCUGCUAUUUUCUGCUGAAACAAUGCUUUUCUGACUGCAUUUAAAUAUGACUGUUUUCAUGACUGUGUUAGCUCACCGAACUAAAGCCU